rnacentral:rRNA from 1 species
GACGAACGCUGGCGGCGUGCUUAACACAUGCAAGUCGAACGGAAAGGCCCUGCUUUUGUGGGGUGCUCGAGUGGCGAACGGGUGAGUAACACGUGAGUAACCUGCCCUUGACUUUGGGAUAACUUCAGGAAACUGGGGCUAAUACCGGAUAGGAGCUCCUGCUGCAUGGUGGGGGUUGGAAAGUUUCGGCGGUUGGGGAUGGACUCGCGGCUUAUCAGCUUGUUGGUGGGGUAGUGGCUUACCAAGGCUUUGACGGGUAGCCGGCCUGAGAGGGUGACCGGCCACAUUGGGACUGAGGUACGGCCCAGACUCCUACGGGAGGCAGCAGUGGGGAAUAUUGCACAAUGAGCGGAAGCCUGAUGCAGCAACGCCGCGUGCGGGAUGACGGCCUUCGGGUUGUAAACCGCUUUCGCCUGUGACGAAGCGUGAGUGACGGUAAUGGGUAAAGAAGCACCGGCUAACUACGUG